rnacentral:lncRNA from 1 species
AGUAGCGGUGCUUUAAAGCUGUCUUAUAUGUCAAUGCCAUCCUUAUAAACAGUUGAAAAACUUGAAGCUGAAAAUCUUACAAGAAACUGUCUUCGAGAAAUGAGUAUCGGUCUUUUCAAGUUGUCUUGUGAGUAGUCUUUUUUUUCUUCUAUUUUACCAAACCGAGGAGGGUACAAGGGGGCAAUCUCGAUGACCUCCGAUCUAGCGAGAACGAGUCAACCAUAGAUUGCGGUCUGUCAUGGGUUCUCACUACUGUGACCUUUAUGGUGGCAGAAGCUUGCCCUGCCUUCACGUUGAGGUCUGCUCAUUGUAAUACAACUAUUAUAUAAUUGUGUACUUUCUCAAACAGUUUAUGUCAUAGUAUUGCCUUG